CUGGUAUUAUCCUCCCCAUUUCUUCACUUCGCGCUCUCAUCAGUGGCUCCCGCUGAGACUAAUAAAUACAACGGAAAUGUAAGAAACUUUUACACCUUUCUCAGAAGAUGAGCAGCUCCCCAUAGCAGCUGAUGAAUGAGAUACCGAAUUCCGGCCUGCAAGCAGCUGGUGCCAGGGCGGUGACCGAGACUCGGCCCCGGCUCCCGCAGCGGCUCAUCCCGCACCGAGGCCCGGCCCGCAGCAAUCUGUGACGCCGCACCGCCCGGCCGAGCGCACCCGGACAGCGCCUCUCCGGGCCACCUCCUUCCGCCUGCCCCCGGCCCUUCACUCCUCGGCCGGGGGCUGCGGCUGCCCAAGGUCACAGCGGGGCGUACUGCUGCGGCCCCGCCGCUCUCCCUCCGCGCAGCCCAGCCCCGCCGUCCUCCGAAGGCCGCACCCCCCGCUCCGCACGGCGCGCCCGGGCCCGGGGUCCCCUCCAAGGGCGCCCGCCGCCUCCCGUCGCUGUCGGAGAAGGACGCGAGGCGGUGCCCGAAGCGGGC